rnacentral:rRNA from 1 species
UACGUAGGUGGCAAGCGUUGUCCGGAUUUAUUGGGCUUAAAGGGUGCGUAGGCGGCCUAUUAAGUCAGUGGUGAAAUAUUUCAGCUCAACUGGAAUUGUGCCAUUGAUACUGAUGGGCUUGAGUACAGAUGAGGUAGGCGGAAUUGACGGUGUAGCGGUGAAAUGCUUAGAUAUCGUCAAGAACACCUAUAGCGAAGGCAGCUUACUAGGCUGUAACUGACGCUGAGGCACGAAAGUGUGGGGAUCAAACAGG